CAGGCUGCAACCCGCCUGCAUGAAGUCGGAAUUGCUAGUAUCGCGGAUCAGCAUGCCGCGGUGAAUACGUUCCCGGGCCUUGUACACACCGCCCGUCACACCAUGGGAGCCGGUAAUACCCGAAGUCAGUAGUCCAACCUCGUGAGGACGCUGCCGAAGGUAGGAUUGGCGACUGGGGUGAAGUCGUAACAAGGUAAC
rnacentral:rRNA from 1 species